GAGGGGGCUCUUUAAAGGUCUACAAAGCGGAUAGGAGGUAUUGGGUCUAGUUCCCGUGCGGUAGUAGUAAAGUAUGCUGAGAGGACGCGUUGCUCUAGCUCUCUAACGUCCGUCGUUCGCGUGCUUAAGGUACUCCCCUUCGCGCUCCAGAGAUCACCUUUGACGUUGAUCUGUUUAGUUUGGGCCUUUACCUGAACGUUCCAACUACUGCUAAUGAUGAGGGGCCUUCUUGUUCUUCCUCUAGUUGCGAUGACUUAGACAGGAGGGUUUCCUACUUUUGCAGCUCGGGGAGCAGCGAAAGUCGGCCGGCGGAGGAAACGGUGGCCAAGAUCCGGGGAACUAGCGCGAGAGCGAAAAAGUCUGAAGAAGAUCACUACUUCUGUCGUUUACUCAGCGGUCCCCCGAAGGAACAAACUAGCGACUCAACCAAUGAAAAGCCUCGGACCGGCACAUAUAUCAGCCUCCAACAUCUGUAGUACAACGACAUCAAUAGACCGUUCAUGAUGCUUUAGACUUAUUACAUCAUCAGAAAACACACUGUUGAAAAGUCUGACUUGUUUAAAGCUUCAGAC
rnacentral:rRNA from 1 species